rfam:Candidatus Falkowbacteria bacterium RIFCSPLOWO2_12_FTLL_45_10 rifcsplowo2_12_scaffold_23074, whole genome shotgun sequence.
UGAAGAGUUAUUAAGGGUAUAUGGUGGAUGCCUUGACAUUAAAAGACGAUGAAGGACGUAGCAGCCUGCGAUAAGCCUCGGGGAGGUGGCAAGCAACCUUUGAGCCGGGGAUUUCCGAAUGGGGGAACCUAUCCCGAUGAAGUCGGGAUGUCCUUAACUUGAAUUCAUAGAGUUAAGAGACGAGUACCCGGGGAACUGAAACAUCUUAGUACCCGGAGGAAAAGAGAAAAAAAUCCUUCACUAAAGUUACGCGUGACUGUCCCUGCCUACCGGCAGGCAGGCGCCUAGCUUUAGCGAAGGCAGAUUCCGUUAGUAGUGGCGAGCGAAAACGGAGCAGCCAAAAUUUUAUCGACCGAACCUUUUGUCCCGAGCAAUCGGGAUAAAUGGGAAAGGAUCCAGGUCCAAAUGUCGGUAGAAUGUUGCAAGAAGUUUGCGUUUGCCCCCUGGAAAGGGCAAGGUAGAGAGACCAAACGUAGCUUCCCUAGCAGAGCGGUCUGGAAAGACCGGCCAAAGACGGUGAUAGCCCGGUACGCGAAAGGGGUUAUGACUCUACGGCAAUCUUUCUUAAGUAAGGCGGGACUCGUGAAAUCCCGUUUGAAUCCGGAGCGACUAUGCUCCAAGGCUAAAUACUUUUAAUGAUCAAUAGUGAACAAGUACCGUGAGGGAAAGGUGAAAAGCAUCCCGGAGAGGGAGGUGAAAUAGUACCUGAAACCAUAUACUUACAAGGAAUCGGAGUCCCGCCCUUUCUGCGCAUCUUUAAGUUUUUUAUAUCAUCGGCUAGAGACGAAGUCGCUUCGCUUAGCAAAGAUGAUGUAAAAACGAAAGGUGAAUGGAAAGGGCGGGAUGACGGUGUGCCUAUUGAAGAAUGAGCCAACGAGUUUGUUCUAUGCGGCUAACAUAAGCUCCAUUCGGAGCAGAUGUGUAGUGAAAGCGAGGGUUAAUAGCCCGUAUCUUACUUAUAAGGAAGGAGACCCUUUAGUCUCCUGCCUUAUUUGUAAGAAUGUCGCAUGGACAAGACCCGAAGCCGGGUGAUCUAGCCAUGGCCAGGUUGAAUGUCGUCGAAAGACGGCAGGAGGACCGAACCCACUAGCCGUGCAACACUAGGGGAUGAGCUGUGGUUAGCGGAGAAAUUCCAAUCGAACUCGGCGAUAGCUGGUUCUCCUCGAAAUAGCUUUUGGGCUAGCCUCGGAUGCUAACUAUAGGGGGUAGAGCACUGAUUAAGGGCGGGAUCGUUAAGAUAACCGUCUUUAGACAAACUCCGAAUCCCUAUAGGCGUAAUCCGGGAGUCAGACUGUGGGGGCUAAGCUUCACUAGUCAAAAGGGAAACAGCCCAUGAUCACCAACUAAGGUCCCUAAAUCUAUGCUAAGUGUAAAAGGUGGUGUCGCGACUGCGACAACUAGGAGGUUGGCUUAGAAGCAGCCAUCCUUUAAAGAAAGCGUAACAGCUCACUAGUCAAGUUGCCGCGCGCCGAAAAUUUAUCGGGGCUAAGCAUAGUACCGAAGUUGUGGAUGUGCCGAUGCGAAAGCAUCGGGACAUGGUAGAGGAGCAUUUGCUGGGCAUUGAAGCUCUGUCGCGAGGCAGGGUGGAGCGCAGCGAAGCGAGACUGUUGGCAUAAGUAGCAAAAAGGCAGGUAAAAACCCUGCCCACCGUAAGCCUAAGGGUUCCUGGGCAACGCAAAUCGGCCCAGGGUUAGUCGGUCCUAAGGUGAGUCCCGUGUAGUGCGGGGGUAGCCGAUGGAAGAUGCCGUCAAUAUUCGGCAACUACUGUUUUAUUUCAAAGGAGUGACGCAUUAGUUAAGUUUGAGCGUCCUAUGGUAUGGGCGUUACUGCCAGCAUUGAGCCGUCCUUGGCAAAUCCGGGACAAUUUCGCUCAAAGCUGGCGGUAGAAGUCAAAGGCAAUGCCUGAGACAAUUUGAGUGGAGCUGAUGCCCAGAAAAACUUCUAGAGUUUUCCGUCGUUAGACGGGAUAAAAAUAAAACAGCAACCGUACCGUAAACCGACACAGGUAGGCGAGGCGAGUAGCCUCAGGUGCACGAGAGAACCUUCGUUUAGGAACUCGGCAAAAAAGCGGUCGUAAGUUCGCAAUAAGGCCUGCCUCGAUUUAUCGGGGCCGCAGCGACCGAUCUCAAGUGACUGUUUACCAAAAACACAGCUCCCUGCUAACUCGUAAGAGGAUGUAUAGGGGGUGAUGCCUGGCCAGUGUCAGAACGUUAAGGGGAGAGGUUAAUCCCGAGCAAUCGGGGCGAAGCUUUGAUCCGAAGCGCUGAUGAACGCCGGCGAUAACUAUAAUCGUCCUAAGGUAGCGAAAUUCCUUGUCGGGUAAGUUCCGACCUGCACGAAUGGCAUAACAACUUGAGAACUGUCUCAACGAGGGACUCGGCGAAAUUGCAAGAUGAGUGAAGAUGCUCAUUACCCACAGUAGGGCGAAAAGACCCCGUGAAGCUUUACUACAACUUGAUAUUGUGUUUCGGUUUG